rnacentral:tRNA from 1 species
GAGAGCCUAGUUAAUUUAUAACAUAAGCUUGUCAAGCUUAAAUUACCACUUGAUUGGUGGUUCUCU